rnacentral:tRNA from 1 species
GGACGGGUGGCCGAGUGGUUUAAGGCGCACGCCUGGAGAGCGUGUGGGCGCCGAAAGCGCCUCGUGGGUUCGAAUCCCACCCCGUCCG